CAUUAAUGAAUUACAAGUCGGCCCUCUGUGCUGGUGGCAACACAUGUGCACGUUGGUCGCAAAUCCACACACCUGUGCACCUUUGACUUUGGGAUCCGCCGGUCUUUUGACUCGCAGCAGGUCGGCUCUGUGCCGUCCUGGAUCUCAGAGUAAUUUUACACACUCUUGAAUGUAAUGGAAUGUCUCUGUGCAUAACGCGCAAAUAUACAACUUUCAACAACGGAUCUCUUGGCUCUCGCAUCGAUGAAGAACGCAGCGAAAUGCGAUAAGUAAUGUGAAUUGCAGAAUUCAGUGAAUCAUCGAAUCUUUGAACGCACCUUGCACCCUUUGGUAUUCCGAGGGGUACACCCGUUUGAGUGUCAUUGUAAUCUCACUCCGACGACCUUUUUGUUGUCUGGAGGUGGACUUGGACCUUGCCGUGUCACAACGGCUGGUCUGAAAUGCAUGAGUGCACCCUGCUGUAGCAGCGUCUUCAGUGUGAUAAGUAUCUUCACUGAUUCAAGUUCCCCUCGUGGGACACGCCGCCUGGUGGGCUCUGCGCUUCUAACCGUCCGCAUGGACAACUCUUGACAAUUUGACCUCAAAUCGGGUGGGAUUACCC
rnacentral:rRNA from 1 species